UCUACGGGAGGCAGCAGUGAGGAAUAUUGGUCAAUGGGCGGAAGCCUGAACCAGCCAAGUAGCGUGCAGGAUGACGGCCCUACGGGUUGUAAACUGCUUUUAUACGGGAAUAACGCGCCUUACGUGUAGGGCUUUGCAUGUACCGUAUGAAUAAGGAACGGCUAAUUCCGUGCCAGCAGCCGCAGUAAUACGGAAGGUCCGGGCGUUAUCCGGAUUUGGUGGGUUUAAAGGGAGCGUAGGCCCCAUGUCAAGCUCUCUUUGGAAUGUCCGGGCUCAACCCGGGCCUUGCAGCGCGAACUGGCGUGCUUGAGUCCGCGGAAAGCAGGCGGAAUUCGUCGUGUAGCGGGGAAAUGCUUAGAUAUGACGAAGAACCCCGAUUGCGAAGGCAGCUUGCUGCAGCGGAACUGACGCUGAUGCUCGAAAGCGCGGGUAUCGAACAGGAUUAGAUACCCGGGUAGUC
rnacentral:rRNA from 1 species